AAUUCAUCAUCCCAACACACUUCUUCCCCCAACCAAUUUCAUAAGACCAAAUAGCCCCAUUACCCAACCCAAAUCCUUUCCAAAAAGGAAAAAUCCAGAAGCUCCCAGCGUUCAUAAAUGCCAAAUACACAACAACCAAAUGGAAGUGCUAAUGGCGUGAGAGUAAAACAAAGCAGCGAACGCAUGAGCACCACUACCUAACCUCGUACUCGCCUUGCGUUUUCAUGCGAGGGAGGAGCAAAAGCAAAUAGACGGCGUCUUCAACAAACGACGUUUGCUCGCUUCAACCUCUUCACAGAAGAGACGACGAUAGACGGAAAACAUCGACGUGCAGAAGACAGUUGUCUUCUUCCUUCUGUCCCUCUCAUUGCGUACGAUCUUCAGCGACUCUGAGGCACGCAUUUUCGUCCUUGAACGUAGUAGAUCGCUCCACCUCGGCAUUCAAGGACAAAGGAUCGAUCCCAAUUGUCCAUUCCACCUCCCAUUUUCAGAAGAAGGUUGAAGGUUCAGAAAAGGGGUGCUCGUCCAUAAUGGUAAAAGAGUUUUUUUUUUGAAUUUGAAUUCAAUGAGUGAGACUUUGAUUCGGAUUUUUCAUCCUUCCCUCCAAAAGUUUGAAACCCUAAUCUCUCCCAUAUAUAUAUUCUCUUUUUGCUCACCGUAAGAGAUUCUUUUUUUGGGGGGGGGGGGUGAAAAAAUUGAGAAAAGACUUUGGUCGACUUUUUUUGUUUAGAGACUCUGGAAAACUAAAAGGGAAUUUUCGCUUUCGAUAUUCGAACUUGGAAGUCUUCUAUAUUGGAGAAUAGUGGAUUAGAGUGAGAGAUUUUAGUUCUAGUAAGAGCAUACAAAAGGAGAAAAGGAAUCGCUAGGUUACACCCUUCAUUUUGAGUUCGGUAUUGAAGUCGCCUCUGCUUGUCUUGCCUUUUUUCGCUGCUCCGAGAAAGUCCAUUUUGGGACUCCCUCUUCAUCUUUGCAUCCUUCGUUUGAGACACGAAGGCUUGAACCAUUAUAUCCGAGUUGUUCACCCCCCUCUAAAAAUGGCGCACAGGUUGAAACUAGCAAUAUAUUUGCUGGGAAUUAAGUUUACAGGUCUCCAAAGGCUUAAAACAGAUGAAUAUACCAGCCGUAUACACUAAUAUACAGUCAGGAUAUAUGACAUACAAUUAAAAAAAUGUGAAUGCACAUGCCAAAUGCAGGAGAUAAAAAAUUUGAGUAAAUGCAGAUUUCGGAAGGUACGAAUCGAUGGAAUACAACCCUAUAUACCAUGAUACGCAAAAGGUAUACACAUAUUUUGAAAGGAAAAUAUGGCCAAGACGCCCCAAAAAAGCAGGCCCAACAGGUCAAAUAAUGGGCAAGAUUCAGUUUUGGGCCAUUUUAGAUUUAGGACAGGUUGUUCAAAUUUGGGCCAAACUCUCUUCCUUUCUUACUCAUAUUGUAUUAUUUUGACUAACUUUAUUUAUCCUAUAGUUUUAAUUUAAUAAAAUCCCCGA